UGGAUGCAUUCUGAAUUUGGUUAUUUUCCUCUGAUGAACCUUCAUGUUUUUGUUUUAGCAAGUGGUUAGUUUGGUUAUAUUCAAACAGAAACCUCUGCUUUGCCUAUGUGGGAAGAAAAAGAAUGAAAUUGCUAAAAUGUGAUUUUAGAGGAAGCAUAUAAAGUUCUUUUAAAAAAAAAUUAAACUCUCUAUAACUUUCAACCAACAGAAUGUGGCCUAAAAUGAGAGGAAAUUCCAACACAACUUGACAUGAGGCCAGCAGUAAGUCUGGAGGAAGCCAGUAGUGACAGCUUAUGGAGAAGCACAUGUAGGGAGAAACAGAGGCCUUGGCUAACAGACAACGACCAUGAGAGUGAGCUUAGAAGAAGAUUCUUUAAUACCAGUCAAGUCUUGAGAUGACAGCAGCAGCAGCUGACAGUUUGCCACUUCUUGAGUGCCUGAACCAGAACAAUUCAGGCCAGGAAUAGAAGACAAGGCAAUGGGAAGAACAUAAUGAGCAAAGACAUGAAGUGAACUGAAGUGGUGUGCUGUGGUAUUCUGGCCAGAGACACAGCACAAAUAGAAAAAUGAAUGGUCAGCACUUCACUUGUUCUUCCAAGUCUAUGGUGAGGGUACAAAUUUGUAGUGAACUGAUCACCAUUUGAGUCAACUUGAGGACAAAAGAGAAACUAGUAAUAAAGAUCUUGGGAGACAACCUUGUGAUCUACAGGGAUUUGCUGGAUAAAUGCAUACCUUUCCUGCCUAAUGCCCAUGCUAUUCCUACUUCCUGGAAUGUUUUUACUCCAUCUCUUUGCUUGGCUGAGGUCAUUUAGGGACUCACUGUCUAUCUCCUCCUCUAAGCUCCAGAGAUACAGAGACCUCCCUUUCUUGUUCAUUGCUACAUUCCAGCAUCUAACAUAA